GUGCUCAUUUUGGAAGCACACAUACUAAAAUUGGAAUUAUACAGAGAAGAUUAGCAUGGAUCCUGUGCAAGGAGGACAUGCAAAUUCAUGAAGGGUUCCAUAUUUUU